UCAAAGACACCUAGCAGUAGACUCCGGACAGACUCCGCCUUCAAACUGGCAAAUCCGUGUAACUGUCACCUCUGUUUUACUGUCGUGAUGGAGACAUUGACCCGGAUCAGACACCAGGGGGCGGGAAGCACAGUCACAACUGAUACGGCCAGCCGUCGUGAAACAGAAGCGCGAAUUUUUAGUUCUAGGAGUUCAACUGCCUUACUGCUGCCAGAGCUGAGUUAGACAUUAACGGAAGCGGUUGGUGAACACUAGAGCUAGUGAAAAGAAGAGUUCGUUUGAUUUGUUUCAGCCCCAGGACCGAGGCGUUGAGGUGGCGUGACUGGCGUGAAUUCGGCGUGCCCUGUCUGCAAUCCUGCCUUUCAGUAAUGGGCAGUAAGGACAAGAUCCACCCACCACCCAGUGCAUGCGUGCAUAUGUGUGUGUAAUAAAUUGAGAGGGAAAGUGUGUGUGAUAAAUGAAAUUUAAUAA